AAGUACUCCGCCUGAGUAGUACGUACGCAAGUAUGAAACUUAAAGGAAUUGACGGGAGCCCGCACAAGCGUGGAGCAUGUUGUUAAUUCGACGAUACGCGAAGAACCUUACCAGUCUUGACAUCUUGGUGUAGCUAUAGAGAUAUAGUGAGAUUGCCAAAGACAGGUGGUGCAUGUUGUCGUCAGCUCGUGUCGUGAGAUGUUGGGUUAAGUCCCGCAACGAGCGCAACCCUUAUUGCUAGUUACCAUCAUUAAGUUGGGGACUCUAGCGAGACUGCCAGUGAUAAAUUGGAGGAAGGUGGGGAUGACGUCAAAUCAUCAUGCCCUUUAUGACCUGGGCUACAAACGUGCUACAAUGGCUGAAACAAAGAGAAGCGAAGCAGUGAUGUGGAGCGAACCUCAAAAAAGCAGUCUCAGUUCGGAUUGAAGUCUGCAACUCGACUUCAUGAAGUUGGAAUCGCUAGUAAUCGCGAAUCAGAAUGUCGCGGUGAAUACGUUCUCGGGCUUUGUACACACCGCCCGUCAAACCAUGAGAGUUUGUAAUACCCGAAGCCGGUGGCAUAACCGUAAGGAGUGAGCCGUCUAAGGUAGGACAGAUGAUUGGGGUU
rnacentral:rRNA from 1 species